rnacentral:rRNA from 1 species
CCUACGGGUGGCUGCAGUGGGGAAUAUUGGACAAUGGGCGAAAGCCUGAUCCAGCCAUGCCGCGUGUGUGAAGAAGGCCUUCGGGUUGUAAAGCACUUUCAGUGGGGAAGAAAGCCUUGGGGCUAAUACCCUCGAGGAAGGACAUCACCCACAGAAGAAGCACCGGCUAACUCCGUGCCAGCAGCCGCGGUAAUACGGAGGGUGCGAGCGUUAAUCGGAAUUACUGGGCGUAAAGCGCGCGUAGGCGGUCUGAUAAGCCGGUUGUGAAAGCCCCGGGCUCAACCUGGGAACGGCAUCCGGAACUGUCAGGCUAGAGGGCAGGAGAGGAAGGUAGAAUUCCCGGUGUAGCGGUGAAAUGCGUAGAGAUCGGGAGGAAUACCAGUGGCGAAGGCGGCCUUCUGGACUGACACUGACGCUGAGGUGCGAAAGCGUGGGUAGCAAACAGGAUUAGAUACCCUGUAGUC